rnacentral:misc_RNA from 1 species
CGAACCCUCAAGCACGGCUUGUGUGUUGGGCCGCCGUCCCCCCGUUGCAGGGGGGGGGGGACGGGCCUGAAAGGCAGCGGCGGCGUCGCGUCCGGUCCUCGAGCGUAUGGGGCUCUGUCACGCGCUCAAGGAGGGGUCCGGCCGGGGCCAUAGCCUCAAAGGUCAGACUUUUUUCCAA